rnacentral:rRNA from 1 species
UACGUAGGGUGCAAGCGUUAAUCGGAAUUACUGGGCGUAAAGCGUGCGCAGGCGGUUCGUUAUGUCUGGUGUGAAAGCCCCGGGCUUAACCUGGGAAUUGCAUUGGAAACUAGCGGGCUGGAGUGUGGCAGAGGGGGGUGGAAUUCCACGUGUAGCAGUGAAAUGCGUAGAGAUGUGGAGGAACACCGAUGGCGAAGGCAGCCCCCUGGGCUAACACUGACGCUCAUGCACGAAAGCGUGGGGAGCAAACAGG